UAUUAUAUUAAGGUACGGAUUCUGUACUUUUUCAGCGAUACUCUUUUAAAUUUAAUUUGUUCGUUUGUUACUCGUUUAGAAAUUUGGUAUUGCUUCUCAGGAUUAUCCAUUGUUGUCAAAUUUAUUGUGAUAGUUUCGUUUUGGCGUUGAUAUUAGAAUCUGUAUUUGUACUCUUUGAAUUAGUUAAUCGUGUCAAUAUGUUUUAG
rnacentral:lncRNA from 1 species